GAGAUAGAUAAAGGACUCAUUGUUAUAGCUGUACUAUUAUAGUGUCAUUGACAACAUUGGCAGCACAUAUAGACAGAGGACUCAUCGUUAUAUCUGUGCUAUUAGAGCGCCUUUGACAAAAAUGGGCAGCGCCAUUGAGCCUACAACCCAUAGGAAUUCCCACCCAGUUGACAACUUUUUUACUGCUUUAAAAUGGCGGAAGCAAGGUGGACGCCCAUGCUAAAACGACCUUUUGGACACUUGAGCCUUCUAUCAUUCUCUAUGGUAUCGACUGGCGGAAAGGGAGAAGCGAGAGGACUGACUCCGUCCCGAAUCUUUCUGCGCGAGAAGCAGACCAAACUCCCUGCAACCCGCUGUCUCUGAAGAGGAUGUUCCCUUUGAGCAGCAGCACUGUGAGCAGGAGUGGAGCACCAGACUGGGGCAGGAGGAUCUAGAGCCCAUACAGAUUAAAGAGGAACAGGAGGAACUCUGGACCAGUCAGGAGAAAGAGAAGCUUCAAGUGAUGGAGGUUGAUAUCAUAGAGUUCAAAUGCACUCCUCCUUGUGUGAAAAGUGAAUGUGAUCAGGAGGAUCCACUUCAGUCCUUGACUCUUCUUGAAACCCAGACUGUGGAGAACGGGGAGAGUGACUCUAAACCAGUGGAUCUCAAACCUUUCGGCAAUGCGACCUCCCUAAAUAAUCAAAACAAUGACUCCAGCCACACCACAUCUAAAAUAAAAACUAUGCUGCAAUGACUGUGCUGAAACAUUCGCUCUGAAAGCUGACCUGCAGAGGCAUUUGACUCUCAUCAAGAUGAGACCCAGGGAAUGCCGAUUCUGCAAAAAACACUACAAUUCCACCUGUAAAGUGAAAGCCCAUGUCCGACUCUGUCACGUGGAAAAACCCUGCCCCAUUUGUGGCAAGACCUUCAAAUACAAAGGGGUUCUGUCCAGGCACAUGAUUACUCAUACAGGAGAGACAAGAGAGAAACCAUUUAGCUGUGGUGACUGUGGGAAGAGCUUCAAACGCAAGCAGCACCUAACCAACCAUGUACGGACUCACACAGGAGAAAAAAACAUUUAGUUGUGGAGACUGUGGGAAAAGCUUCAUUCAGAAGGGAGAUCUAACCGAACAUAUUCGAACCCACACAGGAGAGAAACAACAUGUCUGCUCAGUAUGUGGUAAAGGAUUCACUCAGAAGGCUCAUCUGGUGAGGCAUGUAAAUAACGUCCACAAAGAAAGAAAACAGGACGAAAAUGGGAAAUAGGAGAAAGAUCUUCUGUCAGAAGAUUGUAAU